rnacentral:rRNA from 1 species
AUCUGGCUGUCGUGAUGCCUAAAAAGCAUUGCAUAGCAAGGGCCGGGCAAGACCGGUGCCAGCCGCCGCGGUAACACCGGCGGCUCGAGUGGUAACCGUUAUUAUUGGGUCUAAAGGGUCUGUAGCCGGCCGGAUAAGUCUCUUGAGAAAUCCAGCAGCUCAACUGUUGGGCUUUCAGGAGAUACUGUUCGGCUCGAGGCCGGGAGAGGUGAGAGGUACUUCAGGGGUAGGGGUGAAAUCUUGUAAUCCUUGAAGGACCGCCAGUGGCGAAGGCGUCUCACCAGAACGGACCUGACGGCAAGGGACGAAAGCUAGGGGCACGAACCGGAUUAGAUACCCGGGUAGUCCUAGCCGUAAACGAUACUCGCUAGGUGUCGGCCACGGUGCGACCGUUGUCGGUGCCGUAGGGAAGCCGUGAAGCGAGC